UACGGGGGGGGCAAGCGUUGUUCGGAAUUACUGGGCGUAAAGGGUUCGUAGGUGGCUUGCUAAGUCAGACGUGAAAUCCCUCAGCUUAACUGGGGAACUGCGUCUGAGACUGGUGAGCUUGAGUGCAGGAGAGGAACGCGGAAUUCCAGGUGUAGCGGUGAAAUGCGUAGAUAUCGGGGGGAAUACCAGUGGCGAAAGCGGCACCCUAGCAUUUUUCUGACGCUCAUGUGCGAAAGCGUGGGGAGCGAACGGG
rnacentral:rRNA from 1 species